rnacentral:tRNA from 1 species
GGGUCUGUAGCUCAGUUGGCUAGAGCGCACGAUUCACAUUCGUGAGGUCGCAGGUUCGAGACCUGCUAGACCCACCA